rnacentral:rRNA from 1 species
GAGUUUGAUUCUGGCUCAGAUUGAACGCUGGCGGCGUGCUUAACACAUGCAAGUCGAACGUGAAAGGGGCCUCGGCCCCGAGUAAAGUGGCGCACGGGUGAGUAACGCGUGGACAAUCUGCCCUUAUGAGUGGGAUAACAGUUGGAAACGGCUGCUAAUACCGCAUACGCUCAGGAAUGACUUUUUGAGGAAAGGCGGCCUCUGCUUGCAAGCUGUCGCAUAAGGAUGAGUCCGCGUCCCAUUAGCUUGUUGGUGGGGUAACGGCCUACCAAGGCAACGAUGGGUAGCCGAUUUGAGAGGAUGAUCGGCCACACUGGAACUGAAACACGGUCCAGACUCCUACGGGAGGCAGCAGUGGGGAAUAUUGCGCAAUGGGCGAAAGCCUGACGCAGCGACGCCGCGUGAGGGAUGAAGGUUUUCGGAUCGUAAACCUCUGUCGGAAGGGAAGAAGGUGCACUCUGCCAAUCAGGGGUGUAUGA